UCUUCAAAAAGUUCCAUUAUUGAGCAACAAUUGAGAAUUAGUUUUGGUUAUUCCUCUAAAUUUGGUAAAAACUUGAGCUUUUGAGAGCUAGUGAUAUAUUUGAGCUAAAAUUUGAUCUUGGUUGAUUUCAAUGCACCUAGACCUAAUAACUCGCAGUUGCCAGUUGCCACCACCCAGAAAAAAUGGCAGCAUGAUGAGGGUGGGGGUAGUGGAUCUAAUUUUGAGGAUCUAAUUGCUAUAUGUAUAAUAGAUAUAUACAUUUUAACUU